rnacentral:rRNA from 1 species
UACGUAGGGGGCUAGCGUUGUCCGGAAUCAUUGGGCGUAAAGCGCGCGUAGGCGGCCAGAUAAGUCCGGUGUGAAAGCCACAGGCUCAACCUGUGAAUGCCGCUGGAAACUGUCUGGCUAGAGUCCGAGAGGGGCGAGUGGAAUUCCCGGUGUAGCGGUGAAAUGCGCAGAUAUCGGGAGGAAUACCAGUGGCGAAGGCGGCUCUCUGGUCCAAUAUUGACGCUGAGAAACGAAAGUGCGGGGAUCAAACAGG